rnacentral:rRNA from 1 species
UACGGAGGAUCCAAGCGUUAUCCGGAUUUAUUGGGUUUAAAGGGUGCGUAGGCGGAUUGAUAAGUUAGAGGUGAAAUGUCCGAGCUCAACUCGGGAACUGCCUCUAAUACUGUUGGUCUGGAGAGUAGAUGCGGUAGGCGGAAUGUAUGGUGUAGCGGUGAAAUGCUUAGAGAUCAUACAGAACACCGAUUGCGAAGGCAGCUUACCAAUCUAUAUCUGACGUUGAGGCACGAAAGCGUGGGGAGCAAACAGG